UACGAAGGGGGCGAGCGUUGUUCGGAUUUACUGGGCGUAAAGGGCGCGUAGGCGGCAAUUCAAGUCAUCUGUGAAAUCUCCGGGCUUAACCCGGAACGGUCAGGUGAUACUGUUUUGCUAGAGUGCGGAAGGGGCAAUCGGAAUUCUCGGUGUAGCGGUGAAAUGCGUAGAUAUCGAGAGGAACACCAGAGGUGAAGACGGGUUGCUGGGCCGACACUGACGCUGACAGCGCGAAAGCCAGGGGAGCAAACGGG
rnacentral:rRNA from 1 species